GUAUAUAACCCAUUAAAAGAUGACAUUCUUUUAAAAGUGCUAAUAUUAAAAAAAUAAAAGUUUGGCCUAUAUGUUGAAACAUGGGCUUAAAGUAUUAAAUAUUGGGCUUACAUAAUAGUGAUAUAAUAUUUACAGUAGAAAAAUAAAACCCUAUACUGUAGAGAAGAUCGUUGGAGCCAUUUUCCUGGAGAAGAUUCUCAAAGCUUUCACUGCUCCUUCGUUCCGGCGGCGGAGAUUGCUCUACACUUUCGAUCAUCUUUUUUCUCCUCCACCAUUGUUCCUUGCUGGAAUGAUUUUUGAAAGAAAUUCAUGGCAGCCAAUCCUUACUUUGGAAAGGCAGUGACGAGGGUGAGUACAAGGACAAGAAGAAGAAAUAUAUGUUGUUUGACAAUGAAUUUAGUGUUUUAUUAUAUUUGUAAUUUUUAUUAGAGUAAAUGGUUCUUGUUUGAAUGGUUAAUUAUGUACUUUGUAAAUCUAGUUAUAUAUUUUUUAAGGUCAAGACGAUUAUACUUUUAAUAAGUUUUGUUAUUUUAA